UUUUGAAGCAGAGGAGAAGCGUGACGCAUGCAAUGUCUAAUACGUUGAUGGCUGGUACAUUUAUUAAAAAUUGGAAGACACGCACACAAACAAAACAUGUUACAACUUCAUAUAAUCAGAUAGAGAAAUGACAUUUUAAGUGAAUUAUGGAUCAUAAUAGUUAAGAUCAUGGACCAAUCAAUAAAAUUAUUGCACACAAUUAAAUUCAUCCAUAUCAACAUUUUAGUAUAUCAUAUUUAAAAUGAGAGACUUUUCACAUUAAGUAGUAUAGUAGUAGUAAUUAUGAAUUAAAAUAAUUAAUAAUACAUAUAUCAUAAAAUGAUGUGAACAAACAGUCACGCGUGUAAAAUUUCUAUUGGUUUAGUUUAUAAUCUUCGAAAGCGAGAAAAAAAGAAGUGUAAACGUAGCAAGCUGCAAAUUGGAAUUCUCUUAAAGAUAUUAUAGAUAUGAAACCAAGAAUAAUCUCUUGAAUCCACCCGUUAUCAUCAUAUUGCUACAAUCGUUGUCAGUACAACAAUAAAUUCCUUGACAUUUAAAGGAAUGUUUUUUUUUUUUUAAUUCGUGCAAUUAUCUGUUAUGGAUAUUUAGAUGAAUAUUUGAUUCCUUCAGUGUCAAUAUCCAUAAUUUUCAAAUUUCAAGAAGCAAAAUUCAAUGUUUUUGUCGAGUUCAACGCUUGAAAACCUUCAUAUUUGUCACAUUAUCUGGUUAAAUAGCAUGUAUCAGAUUAGGCGGUCAUGCAAUUACAUUAAAAGACCCAUGGCUUCUUUGAAAAUGCUAUUAAAUACAUUUAGAUACAUCAAGAUAAUGAUAACAGCCCAUAUCGCUUGAUAAUUUUCCACAUGAAUGGAAAUGGUUGUCACGUAAAUCAUUUGAAGCAAUUUGCUAAUAGGUUUUGUCAAGUUAUAAUUCAACAAGCCACAACAUAAGUACCUGAUGGGAGGGAACUUGGCCGUGAAAUUCCAUUUCUUGUGGAUUAACAAGGAUGGAAUGCAGAGCUACUGCGCCUGCAUUGGUUCAGGUUCGACUGUAAACUGAUUACAUGGGAGAAUAAAUAGCAGCGCCUAUACUGUGGGGACGACGAAGAUCAUUCCCAUGCAAGCUGCAUCUGAAAUCCAAUUCCAC